rnacentral:rRNA from 1 species
UACGUAGGGUGCGAGCGUUGUCCGGAUUUAUUGGGCGUAAAGGGCUCGUAGGCGGCGUGUCGCGUCGGGAGUGAAAGCCCGUUGCUUAACGGCGGGUUGGCUUUCGGUACGGGCAUGCUGGAGUGCGGCAGGGGAGACUGGAAUUCCUGGUGUAGCGGUGGAAUGCGCAGAUAUCAGGAGGAACACCGGUGGCGAAGGCGGUUCUCUGGGCCUUACCUGACACUGAGGAGCGAAAGCGUGGGGAGCGAACAGG